rnacentral:lncRNA from 1 species
UCAGCUUUGCGGAAAUCAAGGGUAAUUUGUCGAAGCGCCGAUCCCAGAUAUCGAAGAGGCGCCAGUCUUUUUCAGCCACGUCAACACCUGUCAUGUGCACACUCAGCUUGGCGAAAAUUACGGACAAUUUGUCGAAGAUUUCUGAUGAAGAAAAAAGCACGUGAAGCCAUACUGAUCAAUCACUCAAUGGUUGCCGACACGAGUGAAAGAAUAGUACCUCUACAGGUAUUAAAGAACUUCCUAUAAUUGUCCACCUUCACCAUCCAUAGCAAGGCAGACAUACAGAACCUUUCUUCAUCUCCGAGAAUGCCUUCCCAACGAAGCCUCUCGAGUCACUCAGUGUUCCUUAUUCCUUGGGGUACCUCUGCAAACAAAUGAUACCAAAGCAAAAGUAUCUCAUAUCACCAGGGUAGAAAGCAAGAGUAUCUCAUAUCAUGCUUUAUCCCUGUCCUUUCCUUUUUCCUUGUUCUUACCUGCAAAGACAAGGAUAAAGAAAGUAAUAUGCCGGAAACUCCACUUAAACUCGGGUAAGGAAUCGACUACCUGCAACAUUUGCCUGGUUGCUUACUUGGCAUUGCUCUCGAGUACUCGUCUUCAACUGCUGAUGUACUUCCAAAGAAAAUGCCACAUUUGCCUGGAGAACAGAUAAGGCAAGUGAAAAUGAUACCUUGCAGCAUGUGGAGAUAACGUGCAGAAGGAACAAGUAGAGAAGAAUGCGGCCUACACAGUUAACUCAGCAGAAGGAGUCUGAGUUGAGGAACUCAAGAAGCUGCCACAUCUGCCUGGAGAACAAAUAAGGAAAUGCGGCAUGCAUAUCAACUCAGCAGAAGGAGUCCGAGUUGAAGAAUUAAAUAGAAGAAGGGGUCUAAGUUGAAUCCAAGAGCUCGAAAAGCUUCAACAACAUAUUGACGGCACCAUCGCCGAAGAACAAAGCCUCGCUGUGCAACGCUGUCAAAUCGCCACCACUUCUUCGAAAGCAAGAGUAUUUCAUAUCAUGCUCUCUCCCUGUCCUUUUCUUUCUCCUUGUUCUUACCUAUGAGACAAGGAGAAAGAAAGCAAUCAGCCAGCACUUGGUAUCAAUCUUCCGAUCUGGAACCGACUGCUUGGAACCCUUCCCUGAUUGCUUACCUAGCACUACUCUCGAGUACUCGUCUUCCACUGCUGCUGUACUUCCAAAGAAGCUGCCACAUAUGCCUGGAGAACAGAUAAGGCAAGUGAAAAUGAUACCUUGCAACAUGUGGAGACAACGUGCAGAAGAAACAAGCAGAGAAGAAUGCAGCCUGCACAGUUAACUCAGCAGAAGGAGUCUGAGCUGAGGAACUCGAGAAGAUGCCACAUUCUGCCAGAAAAAUAGAUAAGGCAAGGGAAAAUAAUACAUUAAAGCAUAUGGAGACAAGCACAACAAAGCACGUCCUGAUUCAUCCGCUACUUCUUCAAAAUCAAAAGUAUCUCAUAUCAUCAGGGUUGCAAUCACUCUGGGUGGAGGACUCAUUUUGACCCUUAAAUUCUUGGGUCGACUUGCUAGGCGUUGUGGGCUGCACGUGCCGAUUCACCACCGUUGAAUUAAAUCCUUAAAGAUCAAGUCACCAACUGGAAGAAGAACCCAUCAAUCUUGAAGAUCAUACCGUUAACCAAACUGCUCAGGUGUGAAUUAGAAAGAUUGAACAAAGCAACAAGUCGUCACAUUCACCUCGUGCUUGCUUGCCAUGUGUUCGGGUCAACCUUCAAGAAUCAAGCCUCAACGGCCCUUGAAGAAACUUCCGGUCAAGUUCAAGAUCAAGCCUCGACGGCCCUUGAGGAAAUCACAAGUCUGAUUCAAAAUCAAGCGUCCACCACCCUUAAAUAAAAUCCAGUUCAAGAAUAAGCUGAGGAAAGUCAAUAAUUGGAGGAAUCCAGAAAAUCCUCCAACCUAGUUCAAGAUCAAAGUUGUGGAAAGUCAACAAGCGUAAAAACAAAUACGUGCCAAUUCAUCCACUACCAAAGCCAAAGAUCAACUACCACACGAAGCUCCUUGUGGUCCAAUUUCAACCUUCAAGAUCAAGCCUCGACGGCCUUUGAAGAAAUUUUCAGCCCAAUUCAAGAUCAAGCCUGAAUGGCCCUUGAAGAAAUCUCAAGCCCAAUUCAAGAUCAAGCCUCAAUGGCCCUUGGAUCGACAUCUACAUUAAGGGACUUUAAAAACGCAUUUCCUACACGUGACAAGCACAUGUAUACGACACGCCUUGAAGUGGGGGCAGUUGUAGACAUCGAAAUUUUGGUAAAUAAAUGUUGACCGAUAAAUCAAAAUUUCAACGUUCGCGUGUCACAUAAAUUUUACAUGUAGCGUGUGACUCAACGAAAAAUCGAAAAGAGUCGGAAAAGUCAUCAAACAUGACACGUGUCAACACCUGGCAGAAACAAAUUAUUUCAUCUGGAAUAUUAUAUUCAAAAUUAGGCCUUGAAAAUUUCUAUAAAUAGAAGGCUAAUUCAUUCAUUUAGGGGAACAAAUUCAUAACCAAUUCACAUUACACUAAAACCCUGAAGCUCUGAAACUCUAAAGCUCCCAAGCAAAUCCCGAAGGAUCAAGAAAGCUCUCUUCGUUCUUCGUCAACUCAACCUUCAAAAUCAAGCCUCAACGGCCCUUCGAAGGAACUUCCACCAAUUCAAGAUCAAGCCCUGACGGCCCUUGAAGAAAGUGUUCAUCGUUCAUCAUCCGUUCAUCCUAAGAUCAAGCCCCAACGGCCCUUUGAAUCAACAACAUCAACAAAUCCACACAUCCAACCGUUCUUCAAGAUAAAUCCCAAAAGCCCUUGAAGAUCCGUUCAUCAACAGUUCUUCAAGAUCAAGCCCAAAAGCCCCUUGAAAGAUCCGUUCAUCCAUCAAACCUUCAAGAUCAAGCCCAAAAGGCCCCUUUGAAGAAACUUCCAACCAUUCAUCCGAGAUCAAGCCUCGACGGCCCUUGGAUCAGCAUCACAAUCCACAAAUCAACACUUUACGGAGAUCGAAUCAGAGGAUCAAAUUUGAGAGAGAUUGUAACCCAAAAUCAUCAAAUACAAAUAUUAUUUUGUACACGUUGUUCUUGUCUCGUUCUUGUUUCAGGAAUUUCUGUGUUCACAGAAACAUAGGAAGCAUUGAAGAAGGAAGUGAAAGGUCUAUAAAUACAAGUAAAGAUGUUAGAACAAAAGACACUCAAAUCAUUCAACAAAACAGACUGCAAGCUUAACAACUAAAGCUCUCUGCCUUUACUUUGAAACCAACACCUUAGAACUCUACGGAACCUUCCUUUAGACUCUAAGACCAAUUAGAAUUUGAUUUGUUACCAUCUCAUUGUGUAAUAUCGAUUUACCAUUCAAUAUAUAGGUUUAUCUCUUUGGUUGAGAUCCUUUACAAGGAAGCAUCUUUAACUCAAUCUGACAACCUUGAAUCCAAUCCGAUAAGAGUUUUUAUCAUAUGUUUUAAGUUCAUUUAUGUAUAAACUUGUUUUGUGAUAUUUAGUAUUUUUAAUAUCAAUUUCAGUUAUGUACUUAAUACUUAUGUUACUUAGUGUCUUCACCUUUUCUGUUGUGAAUGAUUGAAGUAGUGUAUUUGAAUAUAACCAGUUUAUAUUCAAUCCCAUCUCAGUAGUUUCUAGUCUAAUACUGAGACAUAAUUAAAGCUUUUAACAUGCAAGGCAUCAGAAAGAACCAAACUAAAGCCAAACAUUGGCACAACGAGUUUUGACAAAGAAGUUUUAUUUACUUGUGGCUCAAGUAUCACAUAUACAUAUACUCUAUUGUAAAUACAACAUAUUAUUUUGUUUUAUGGCAGAAGCCAACGGUGGCAUGCCUUACAAACAACAAAUCAAAUGAUUCACUAAGCCUCUUUGAAGGCCAAAGAGUGAAGCCUAUAAAAACUGAGAAGCAAAUUACUCAAUGAGCCAUCGUGUUUGUUUUUCACGAGAACAAAAACUUUUACUGUGUGAAGAAAUGAAAUUUGUAGAGCAUGUGGAGUUUUUCACAUCUCCAAGGUUGAGAUAAAAAUACGAUGAUUAUGUUGUCAUAUUGUAAAUUUGGACCAUUGAUUUUAUAUUAAUAUACGUUAUAUAUGCUCACGGUAUGUAAUCACCUGUCUAGUACGUAGUAUAUAUAGAUGAUCAAAAUAAUAUUAUCAUAUUAUAUUCAAGUGUAUUUCCUUAUUUUUAUUUCCUUUUGUAUUACAUGGUCCAUACUUGAGGCACCUAACGGAGUAGGCUUGG